GACGAACGCUGGCGGCGUGCCUAAUACAUGCAAGUCGAGCGGACGAAUCGAAAGCUUGCUUUUGAUUCGUUAGCGGCGGACGGGUGAGUAACACGUGGGCCACCUGCCCUGUAGACGGGGAUAACACCGAGAAAUCGGUGCUAAUACCGGAUAACACGACAUGUCGCAUGACGUUUCGUUGAAAGACGGCGCAAGCUGUCGCUACAGGAUGUGCCCGCGGCGCAUUAGCUAGUUGGUGAGGUAACGGCUCACCAAGGCGACGAUGCGUAGCCGACCUGAGAGGGUGAUCGGCCACACUGGGACUGAGACACGGCCCAGACUCCUACGGGAGGCAGCAGUAGGGAAUCUUCCGCAAUGGACGAAAGUCUGACGGAGCAACGCCGCGUGAGCGAAGAAGGCCUUCGGGUCGUAAAGCUCUGUUGUUAGGGAAGAACAAGUAACGCAGUAACUGGCGUUACCGUGACGGUACCUAAAGAGAAAGCCACGGCUAACUACGUG
rnacentral:rRNA from 1 species